rnacentral:miRNA from 1 species
UGUACUGAUGAAACUAUUGGGUUGAUGCAAAAGUAAUUGUUGUUUUUGCCAUUGAAAGUAAUGGCAAGACUGCAAUUACUUUUGCACCAACAUAAAUAUUUUUG